rnacentral:rRNA from 1 species
UACAGAGGGGGCAAGCGUUGUUCGGAAUUACUGGGCGUAAAGGGCGCGUAGGCGGCCUGCUAAGUCGAACGUGAAAUCCCUGGGCUCAACCCAGGAACUGCGUCCGAUACUGGAAGGCUUGAAUCCGGGAGAGGGAUGCGGAAUUCCAGGUGUAGCGGUGAAAUGCGUAGAUAUCUGGAGGAACACCGGUGGCGAAGGCGGCAUCCUGGACCGGUAUUGACGCUGAGGCGCGAAAGCCAGGGGAGCAAACGGG